rnacentral:rRNA from 1 species
UACGUAGGGGGCUAGCGUUGUCCGGAUUUAUUGGGCGUAAAGAGCGUGUAGGCGGCCAGGUAGGUCCGCUGUGAAAGUCCGAGGCUCAACCUCGGAAUGUCGGCGGAAACCCUCUGGCUAGAGUCCGGAAGAGGAGAGUGGAAUUCCCGGUGUAGCGGUGAAAUGCGCAGAUAUCGGGAAGAGCACCCGUGGCGAAGGCGGCUCUCUGGAACGGUACUGACGCUGAGACGCGAAAGCGUGGGGAGCGAACAGG